GGAAGUCGGGGCAGGAAAAAAUUGGCCCCGUACCAAACGUCGGCAUUCGUAGCUUCUAUUUUAAGGAAGACCUCGAAACAGAAGCAAAAGAAUGGUGAUGGGUAGAGUUAGAAAUUGGUGGAGCCAUUCCAAAACUGUUGCUGUAAUAUGGUUCUCUUCUCUUGCUUUGUUCUUCUUUCUCUUCCAAUUGGCUCUCCGAAAUUCCACCUCUCUUUCUUCCCUUCCUUCUUCAGCUUCGCACAAAUUCAGGCAAGCUUUGCACACUUGGACUUUAGUGUGUUAACUUUGUUAGGGAUAUUUUUAUCAGAUUCUGCUAUGGCAAAUAGCAAUCGAAGAUCAACAUUGUAUGAUAAAAUGGAAAGGGAUUUGGACCAGCAUGGAGCAGCUUUUCUUAAACAUGGUGAAACUUCUCAAUCGCUGUCACUUUCAGAUCUCUUUACUUUGAAAAAUGGAUUUGUAACACCUGUACUUAAGGCAGCACAUCCUCCUGUACGGGCCAACGUUUUGUAUAUGAGCACAGAAUACUCUGUGCCCAUCUCGAAGGCUGUAAAGCAAGUAUUUGAUCCAUACUUUGACAAAGCGAUCUGGUUUCAGAACUCAAGCUUGUACCAUUUCAGUAUGUUCCACGCAUCACAUCAUAUUGCACCUGUUUCCGCCUCUGAAAUUGAGAUUGAAGAUGAAGCAGCUGCUGCUAAAGCUGUUGCAGAAGGGCUAUGCCCUUUAGAAAUUGUCUUAGACAGGGUAGUUUUAACUUCGACUGGUGUGCUUCUUGGCUGCUGGCAGGUAAUUUCUGGAACGGAUCCCGUAAGCAUUCGUGCUAAAUUGAGAACAGCACUUCCACGAGCACCAGAGAAGCAACUUUAUGAUGAGGCUAUUCUUCACACAUCUUUUGCAAGGCUUCUGAGUCACCCUAAAGCUUCACUCAUGGACACUGAUAGUACUUCAAAUCCAAUCAAACUUUUCCAUAAGCUAGUCUCUCAACUAAACAAUGAAAUCCGUGGAUUUAAGUUAUAACUUUCACAAUGAGGAAAUAGAAGCCAGGUUCCUCUGUUGACAAAAUCAUAUGCUAGCAAUGGUGUCAAGCACUCCAAUGCACUGAUAUAUGCAAAGGUGAAGGAGCUGUGGUAUGUGGAGGAAUAUGAUGUGUUGGCCCUUGCCUUAAAUGGAAAAAUGAAGGUGCGCAGGUUCCAAAUGGGUUGCUCAAGUACCUGAAGUUCCAAAUUCAGAUGCAAUUUUAAGCAUAUUUCAACUUCCAUUUCUCCUACAGAGUUGUUACGAUAGAGUACAAUUCAUAGUUUUAUUUUGGCCGGGAUUAAAUAUGUUAAGAUACCUUUCUACUACUCCAAACAUGAAUUUGGGAUGUUAUCAACGAGUUUGAUUUGAUGUAUUAAUGGCCUUCUUUUUAUUUAUUUAAAAUAUCACAAAGUUAUUUUA